rnacentral:rRNA from 1 species
ACGCUCGACACCUACGGGAGGCAGCAGGUGGGGAAUAUUGCACAAUGGGGGAAACCCUGAUGCAGCGACGCCGCGUGAGCGAAGAAGUAUUUCGGUAUGUAAAGCUCUAUCAGCAGGGAAGAUAAUGACGGUACCUGACUAAGAAGCUCCGGCUAAAUACGUGCAAGCAGCCGCGGUAAUCUGAGCGGGCUGGCAAGGC